AAUUUAAAUAUUAGAUGACAAGCAACUAGAUCUAAUAAGAGUCGGAAGGAAUUGUCCGUUGUAGAAUCGUCUAUGUAACAGUGCAAUAAAUAAUAAAUCUAAGACUGGCAAAAAAAAAUAAUUGACAAGCAACUGAAUAUGAAUAUAGUUAGUGAUAUAGUGACAACACUAAUAAAAACGA
rnacentral:sRNA from 1 species